rnacentral:rRNA from 1 species
CCUACGGGGAGCAGCAGUAGGGAAUAUUGCUCAAUGGGGGAAACCCUGAAGCAGCAACGCCGCGUGGAGGAUGAAGGUUUUCGGAUUGUAAACUCCUUUUGUUAGAGAAGAUAAUGACGGUAUCUAACGAAUAAGCACCGGCUAACUCCGUGCCAGCAGCCGCGGUAAUACGGAGGGUGCAAGCGUUACUCGGAAUCACUGGGCGUAAAGGGCGCGUAGGCGGGAUAGCAAGUCAGAUGUGAAAUCCUAUGGCUUAACCAUAGAACUGCAUUUGAAACUGUUAUUCUAGAGUAUGGGAGAGGUAGGUGGAAUUCUUGGUGUAGGGGUAAAAUCCGUAGAGAUCAAGAGGAAUACUCAUUGCGAAGGCGACCUGCUAGAACAUAACUGACGCUGAUGCGCGAAAGCGUGGGGAGCAAACAGGAUUAGAUACCCCGGUAGUC